rnacentral:rRNA from 1 species
CUGCUGCCUCCCGUAGGAGUCUGGGCCGUAUCUCAGUCCCAAUGUGGCCGGCCAACCUCUCAGUCCGGCUACUGAUCGUCGCCUUGGUAGGCCGUUACCCUACCAACUAGCUAAUCAGACGCGAGGCCAUCUCUCAGCGAUAAAUCUUUGACAUAAAUGCCAUGCGACACCUAUGUGUUAUGCGGUAUUAGCAGCCGUUUCCAGCUGUUGUCCCCCUCUGAAAGGCAGGUUCCUCACGUCG